rnacentral:rRNA from 1 species
AGGGCAUACGGCGGAUGCCUAGGCGCCAUGAGCCGAUGAAGGACGCGGUAAGCUGCGAAAAGCCACGGGGAACUGCAAGCAAGUAUUGAUCCGUGGAUAUCCGAAUGGGGAAACCCAACUACCGUCAUGGGUAGUUAUCCGAAAGGAAGGGAACCUGGGGAACUGAAACAUCUAAGUACCCGGAGGAAAAGAAAUCAAACGAGAUGCCCACAGUAGCGGCGAGCGAAGAGGGCAGAGCCCAAACCGUAAAGCUACGGCUUUACGGGGUUGAGGACCGGCAUAAUCGAAGUCAGGUCUAGCUGAACUACCUGGAAAGGUAGGCGAUAGAGUGUAAAAGCCACGUAAGCGAAAGACAGAGCGGAGAGGCCGAGAUCCAGAGUACCACGAAGCACGAGGAAUUUUGUGGGAAGCAGGGGGGACCACCCUCCAAGGCUAAAGACUAAAUGGCGACCGAUAGCGCAUAGUACCGUGAGGGAAAGGUGAAAAGAACCCCGGGAGGGGAGUGAAAGAGUACCUGAAACCGUAUGUCUACAAGCAGUCGGAGCGAAAGCGACGGCGUGCCUAUUGAAGAAUGAACCAACGAGUUACGUGCAGUAGCGAGGUUAAGUGGAAGACACGGAGCCGAAGCGAAAGCGAGUCUUAAGAGGGCGAAUAGUUGCUGUACGUAGACCCGAAACCGCAGUGAUCUACCCAUGUCCAGGUUGAAGCGCAGGUAAAAUUGCGUGGAGGACCGAACCGGUGAGCGUUGAAAAGCUUUCGGAUGAGAUGUGGGUAGAGGUGAAAUUCCAAUCGAACGCGGAGAUAGCUGGUUCUCCCCGAAAUAGCUUUAGGGCUAGCCUCAAGUAGUAAGUAUAGGCGGUAGAGCACUGAUCGGGCUAGGGGCCGUAAAGGUUACCGAACCCUGUCAAACUCCGAAUGGUUAUACUGCAAAGCUUGGGAGUCAGACUACGAGUGAUAAGAUCCGUGGUCAAAAGGGAAACAGCCCAGACCACCAGCUAAGGUCCCCAAUGCCGUACUAAGUGGAAAAGGAUGUGGGGUCUCAUAAACAACCAGGAUGUUGGCUUAGAAGCAGCCACCAUUUAAAGAGUGCGUAAUAGCUCACUGGUCGAGAGACCCUGCGCCGAAGAUUACCGGGGCUAAAGUACGGAACCGAAGCUGUGGCUACAUACGUAAGUAUGUGGGGUAGGGGAGCGUUCCCAUAGGGUUGAAGUCGUACUGUAAGGUACGGUGGACUUGUGGGAAGUGAGAAUGUUGGUAUGAGUAGCGAAAAGAAAGGUGAGAAUCCUUUCCACCGAAAGCAUAAGGAUUCCUGGGCAACGAUCGUCGUCCCAGGGUAAGUCGGGACCUAAUCCGAGGCAGAGAGCGUAGGAGAUGGACAACUGGUUGAUAUUCCAGUACCGGUGAUAAUUGUUUGAGCGAUGGAGUGACACAGGAGGGUAGGUCAGCAGGAGAUUGGUUGUUCCUGUGAAAGCGUGUAGGAUGGCAGAUAGGCAAAUCCGUCUGCUGAAAGUCUGAGGCGUGAGACGAGAUGGUAGAAAUACCGUCGAAGUGAUUGACCCCACACUGUCGAGAAAAGCUUCUAGUGAGAUUAUAACCGCCCGUACCGUAAACCGACACAGGUAUGCGGGGAGAGAAUCCUAAGGUGCGCGGGAGAACCCUCGUUAAGGAACUCGGCAAAUUGUAUCCGUAACUUAGGGAUAAGGAUAGCCGGAGGAUGUGAAGGGAUUUACUUCUGGAGCGUCAGCCGGUGGCACAAGAGAGGCCCAAGCGACUGUUUAGCACAAACACAGGUGCCUGCAAAAGAGAAAUCUGACGUAUAGGUGCUGACACCUGCCCGGUGCUGGAAGGUUAAGAGGAGGGCUUAGAGGCAACUCGAAGGCUUGAAUUGAAGCCCCAGUAAACGGCGGCCGUAACUAUAACGGUCCUAAGGUAGCGAAAUUCCUUGUCGGGUAAGUUCCGACCCGCACGAAAGGUGUAACGAUUUGGGCACUGUCUCAACGAGGGACCCGGUGAAAUUGAAAUACCUGUGAAGAUGCAGGUUACCCGCGACUGGACAGAAAGACCCCAUGGAGCUUUACUGUAACCUGACAUUGGGUUUUGAUACAUCACGUACAGGAUAGGUGGGAGGCAUGGAAGCUGGGACGCUAGUCUCAGUGGAGCCGACGUUGGGAUACCACCCUUGAUGUAUCGGAAUUCUAACCGUAGUAGUAACGACACUCGGGACAGUGUCAGGCGGGCAGUUUGACUGGGGCGGUCGCCUCCCAAAGAGUAACGGAGGCGCCCAAAGGUUCCCUCAGCGCGGCCGGAAAUCGCGCGAAGAGUGUAAAGGCAGAAGGGAGCUUGACUGAGAGCCAAACACGGCGAUCAGGUACGAAAGUAGGGCUUAGUGAUCCGGUGGCAUCCAAGUGGAAGGGCCAUCGCUCAACGGAUAAAAGCUACCCUGGGGAUAACAGGCUAAUCUCUCCCAAGAGUCCAUAUCGACGGGGAGGUUUGGCACCUCGAUGUCGGCUCAUCACAUCCUGGGGCUGAAGUAGGUCCCAAGG